AGUGCAUGUGGUGGAUGCCUUGGCGAUUACAGGCGACGAAGGACGUGAUAGGCUGCGAUAAGCUUCGGGGAGCUGCCAAAUUAGCUUUGAUCCGGAGAUUUCCGAAUGGGGAAACCCACCCUUAGGGGUAUCGCAUGAUGAAUACAUAGUCAUGCGAGGCGAACCGGGUGAACUGAAACAUCUCAGUAGCUCGAGGAACAGACAUCAACCGAGAUUCCGAAAGUAGUGGCGAGCGAAAUCGGAGAAGCCUGCACGUUUUAGCCAUCGACAUAUCAAAGCGGAAUGGAAAGUCCGGCCAUAGUGGGUGAUAGCCCCGUAUGAAAAAUGUUGGUGGUGGAACUAGGCGUGCGACAAGUAGGGCGGGACACGUGUAAUCCUGUCUGAAUAUGGGGGGACCAUCCUCCAAGGCUAAAUACUCGUAAUCGACCGAUAGUGAACUAGUACCGUGAGGGAAAGGCGAAAAGAACCCCGGGAGGGGAGUGAAAUAGAUCCUGAAACCGCAUGCAUACAAACAGUCGGAGCCUCCUUGUGGGGUGACGGCGUACCUUUUGUAUAAUGGGUCAGCGACUUACAUUCAGUGGCAAGGUUAACCGAAUAGGGAAGCCGUAGAGAAAUCGAGUCCGAAUAGGGCGUUCAGUCGCUGGGUGUAGACCCGAAACCAAGUGAUCUAUCCAUGGCCAGGAUGAAGGUGAGGUAACACUUACUGGAGGUCCGAACCGACUAAUGUUGCAAAAUUAGCGGAUGAGCUGUGGAUAGGGGUGAAAGGCUAAACAAACUUGGAAAUAGCUGGUUCUCUCCGAAAACUAUUUAGGUAGUGCCUCAAGUAUUACCGUCGGGGGUAGAGCACUGUUUAGGCUAGGGGGUCAUGGCGACUUACCAAACCUAUGCAAACUCCGAAUACCGAUGAGUACAGCUUGGGAGACAGUGCACCGGGUGCUAACGUCCGGACACAAGAGGGAAACAACCCAGACCGCCAGCUAAGGUCCCCAAAAUUGGCUAAGUGGGAAACGAAGUGGGAAGGCUAAAACAGUCAGGAUGUUGGCUUAGAAGCAGCCAUCAUUUAAAGAAAGCGUAAUAGCUCACUGAUCGAGUCGUCCUGCGCGGAAGAUGUAACGGGGCUAAGCCAGUUACCGAAGCUGCGGAUGUGCAAUUUAUUGCACGUGGUAGGAGAGCGUUCUGUACGCCUGUGAAGGUGGCUUGUGAAGGCUGCUGGAGGUAUCAGAAGUGCGAAUGCUGACAUGAGUAGCGUUAAAGGGGGUGAAAAGCCCCCUCGCCGAAAGCGCAAGGUUUCCUACGCAACGUUCAUCGGCGUAGGGUGAGUCGGCCCCUAAGGCGAGGCAGAGAUGCGUAGCUGAUGGGAAACAGGUCAAUAUUCCUGUACCGAUUGCAAGUGCGAUGUGGGGACGGAGAUGGUUAGCUCAGCCGGGUGUUGGAUGUCCCGGUUCAAGCGUGUAGUCGUGCUCUUUAGGCAAAUCCGGAGAGCUUAGAUGAGGCGUGAUAACGAGGAGGCUUGCCUCCGAAGUGAGUGAUACCCUGCUUCCAGGAAAAGCCACUAAGCUUCAGCUUGCAACGACCGUACCGCAAACCGACACUGGUGCGCGAGAUGAGUAUUCUAAGGCGCUUGAGAGAACUCUGGAGAAGGAACUCGGCAAAUUGACACCGUAACUUCGGAAGAAGGUGUGCCUUUAGUAGGUGAACCAUUUACUUGGGGAGCCCAAUGAGGCCGCAGAGAAUCGGUGGCUGCAACUGUUUAUUAAAAACACAGCACUCUGCAAAGACGAAAGUCGACGUAUAGGGUGUGACGCCUGCCCGGUGCUGGAAGAUUAAAUGAUGGGGUGCAAGCUCUUGACUGAAGUCCCAGUAAACGGCGGCCGUAACUAUAACGGUCCUAAGGUAGCGAAAUUCCUUGUCGGGUAAGUUCCGACCUGCACGAAUGGCGUAAUGAUGGCCACACUGUCUCCUCCAGAGACUCAGCGAAGUUGAAAUGUUUGUGAUGAUGCAAUCUCCCCGCGGAAAGACGGAAAGACCCCAUGAACCUUUACUGUAGCUUUACAUUGGACUUUGAACAGA
rnacentral:rRNA from 1 species